AAGAUGAAUAGUAUAGUACCUCAUAUAUAAUGGGAAUAUGGCCCAUACGUCUCUACCCAGACACCGUAAAUGUUUGGACUAUGAGGGAAAGUGGAUAUAUU
rnacentral:ncRNA from 2 species